rnacentral:rRNA from 1 species
UACGUAGGGGGCAAGCGUUGUCCGGAAUUAUUGGGCGUAAAGAGCGCGUAGGCGGUCCGAUAAGUCGGCUGUGAAAGUCAGGGGCUCAACCCUUGGAAGCCGGCCCGAUACUGUCGGACUAGAGUCCGGAAGAGGCGAGUGGAAUUCCCGGUGUAGCGGUGAAAUGCGCAGAUAUCGGGAGGAACACCAAUGGCGAAGGCAGCUCGCUGGGACGGUACUGACGCUGAGGCGCGAAGGCCAGGGGAGCAAAGCGGG